UACGUAGGGUGCAAGCGUUAUCCGGAAUUAUUGGGCGUAAAGAGCUCGUAGGCGGUUUGUCGCGUCUGCUGUGAAAACCCGAGGCUCAACCUCGGGCCUGCAGUGGGUACGGGCAGACUAGAGUGCGGUAGGGGAGAUUGGAAUUCCUGGUGUAGCGGUGGAAUGCGCAGAUAUCAGGAGGAACACCGAUGGCGAAGGCAGGUCUCUGGGCAUUAACUGACGCUGAGGAGCGAAAGCAUGGGGAGCGAACAGG
rnacentral:rRNA from 1 species